AACACAACAUUUAUCACAUCCAAUAUUCACAAGAGAGAUUGGAUCAAUAAUUUCAAACCACACAUCAAACACAUUACCCAAGAGAUGUACCCAUGAGUCCCAGAUAUUUAAUAAAAUACCUCUCAUGACCUACCACAACACUAUGUGUACCCAUGGGUCCCAGAUACCAUACAGUAUCUCCCAUGACCUACACUGACAGACGGACUAGAGCUCUAUUCCUAACCGUAACAAAUCACCCGGCCAAAGACUUGGAACCCGGUUGACUGUCUAAUAUCAAUACAAAAAUGAUAAAUAGCAUCUUAACCGCAACCAAUCACCCAAAAAGGGCUUGGAACCCGGUUUGGCUAUUUAUCCAACAAUCACAAUAAUUUUCACAACAUUAUCCACAACAACACAAGAUCACAAUUAUUAUUCUCAACAACAUAAUAUAUAAAUCACAUCAUUAUUCUCAACAUCAUAAUAUAAAGAAAACUUGUUUUUAUCUUACCUAUGAGCCGUUGGCGAUCAAGCUCAUGUAAUUUUAAAAACAAUUAAAAGCAUAAUAUUAAAACCAACAUCACCAUCAUUAUCAUUAUAUAACCAUAAUAUCCUUAGGUUCAAAAGUGAACCUUGGUGAGGUUUACUCACCUAAAUCUCCCGCUGCAAAUACCACAACCGACCAAGGUAAACCAACUCAACUUCACAAAUCACCUAAAAAUAGCACAAUUAAAACCUUAGUAACUAAAACACAAAAGGUUAUCGCACUAUUCUUAACUAACCCUUAGUUAGUUAAAGAGAUGACAACUUUCCAAAGUCGUCUAACUUAGAGACCCACAAAGGCUGCCUCUAAUCCUCAAAUCCUAACUAAACCCUCAACCAAACCUAAUAACAAACUUAAAAUCCUAUCAUACGAACAAAGCUCACAACUUAGGAAUUCUACAUCUCAACAAGCUCACCACUCACCACAACAAGAGCUAGCCAAAACAACACAACCUAAGCCAAAAUCCUACCGGACGCGCUGCCACGCGCCGCCACAGGCGGCGGCGAGUGGGCCCCACACGCCUCCCCAAACUUCCGAAUUUGAGAAAACUCCCAACAGCAAAGUUGAAGCUUGAAGCAAGGGGAACAACUUUCAUACCUGAGACUUCGACCAAAAAUGGCCGGAACCGGCCGGAAACCGCCCCGAAAGGUAACCAGCAAAUCACACUACAAAGCCUGCAAAACCGGCCUCAAAACCUCAAAAACUUGCUUCAACUAUGCCUAGACACUACUAGGAGGAAGAGAGAAUCAAGACUCACCUAAACUUGGCCGGAAACGGCGUCGAAAUCGUCGGUUUUCCGGCGGGACAGCAGUAGCUCCGCCGCUUCGUGGCGGCUUCCAGGCGGCGGGACAGCCGGCGGGACUGCUCCAGAAAUGGAGAGGGCUGCUGUGGGAGUCGAAUGGGACCGGUGGCGUCCGGUUUGGUGGCCGGAUGAGGGAGAACUCGGCCGGAGAAAGUGAGAGUUCGGGGGAAGCUCGGGAGAGGAAGAGAGAGAAGA
rnacentral:lncRNA from 1 species